AAAUCGAGACGAAAAAGAAAAGAAAGAAAGAGAACACAACUACACAACAAAAGAAAGGAACCUCUCCGCCUCUUAGUGGGGCAUCACCCCAAAGGAUUUUGUCUUCGUUUGUUUUGUUUUUGUUUUGCUUU
rnacentral:ribozyme from 1 species